rnacentral:rRNA from 1 species
ACCUACGGGGGCAGCAGUGAGGAAUAUUGGUCAAUGGGCGGUAGCCUGAACCAGCCAAGUAGCGUGAAGGAUGAAGGUUCUAUGGAUUGUAAACUUCUUUUAUAAAGGAAUAAAGUGAGGCACGUGUGCCUUUUUGUAUGUACCAUACGAAUAAAGAUCGGCUAACUCCGUGCCAGCAGCCGCGGUAAUACGGAGGAUCCGAGCGUUAUCCGGAUUUAUUGGGUUUAAAGGGAGCGUAGGCGGAUUAUUAAGUCAGUUGUGAAAGUUUGCGGCUCAACCGUAAAAUUGCAGUUGAUACUGGUAGU